CUGGACAUCAGUUGUAUACUUAUAAGGCUUGUGACAACCAACUCCAUCGAUUAACCAUUAGUGCAAUAUAUUUUAGGUAAUCAAACCCAAUAAUUAAUCAUUAAUAUCNUAUAUUUUUAAAUUAAUACCUGCUAAUUGCCCAUGAAUGACCAUUAACUCCGACCGGUAUAUUCCAUAUAGUACAUAAGCCCCCCAAGCCCAAGCAAGCUUUUUUACUUAAAAGAGGUGCGUAGGGAUUAUUACGAGCUUUAAAAGGAGUUGCUGACGUUGUAUUUAGAGAUUAUAUCUUCGAAGCUAUUAUAAGUCUUCACUGCUCUCUGUACCAAGCAGCAGACUCUAGGAGUUCUCUUUGGAUCUUUU
rnacentral:lncRNA from 1 species